rnacentral:lncRNA from 1 species
GCCGCCUGUGGCUCUAGCACCCCCACGGGGGUCUUCGCUGCAGGCUAGCGCACCUGCGCGUCGCCUCGUCGAGCCGCACGUGCGCGUCGCCUCGUCGAGCUGCACCUGCGCGUCGCCUCGUCGAGCCGCAGGUUCAAGCCGCACCUUCGCUGCAGGCGAGCCGCAGGUUCAAGCCGCACCUUCGCUACAGGUGAGCCGCAGGUUCAAGCCGCACCUUCGCCGCAGGUUCAAGCCGCACCUUCGCUGCAGGUGAGCUGCAGGUUCAAGCCGCACCUUCGCUGCAGGCUAGCCGCAGGUUCAAGCCGUCCCUGCGCGUCUACAGAUUCG